AACGCAUCUUGCACCCUCGGGUAUUCCCGAGGGUAUGUCUGUCUGAGUGUCAUUUGAACUCUCAAAGUUUCCCUCUCUCGUAGGAGUUGUGGGUCCUUUGGAUCGUGGGCGCCUGCCGGCUUCGUCGGCUCGCCUCAAAUCGAAGGUGGCGGUCUCCUCUGGAGCCUGCGUCGGGUUUGACCUGGAGUGGUAGAAGUCUUUUUCGAGAUCUCUGGGGAUGCCUUCGGGCGACCUGUCGUGGCGGGAGGGACGGCUGAAUCAGUCUGACGUUUUCGACCUCAGAUCAGGCAGGACUACCCGCUGAACUUAA
rnacentral:misc_RNA from 1 species